AGCGAACGCUGGCGGCAGGCUUAACACAUGCAAGUCGAGCGGGCACUUCGGUGUCAGCGGCAGACGGGUGAGUAACACGUGGGAACGUACCCUUCGGUUCGGAAUAACGCUGGGAAACUAGCGCUAAUACCGGAUACGCCCUUUUGGGGAAAGGUUUACUGCCGAAGGAUCGGCCCGCGUCUGAUUAGCUAGUUGGUGGGGUAAUGGCCUACCAAGGCGACGAUCAGUAGCUGGUCUGAGAGGAUGAUCAGCCACACUGGGACUGAGACACGGCCCAGACUCCUACGGGAGGCAGCAGUGGGGAAUAUUGGACAAUGGACGCAAGCCUGAUCCAGCCAUGCCGCGUGAGUGAUGAAGGCCUUAGGGUUGUAAAGCUCUUUUGUCCGGGACGAUAAUGACGGUACCGGAAGAAUAAGCCCCGGCUAACUUCGUG
rnacentral:rRNA from 1 species